rnacentral:rRNA from 1 species
GACGAACGCUGGCGGCGUGCUUAACACAUGCAAGUCGAACGGAAAGGCCCUGCUUUUGUGGGGUGCUCGAGUGGCGAACGGGUGAGUAACACGUGAGUAACCUGCCCUUGACUUUGGGAUAACUUCAGGAAACUGGGGCUAAUACCGGAUAGGAGCUCCUGCUGCAUGGUGGGGGUUGGAAAGUUUCGGCGGUUGGGGAUGGACUCGCGGCUUAUCAGCUUGUUGGUGGGGUAGUGGCUUACCAAGGCUUUGACGGGUAGCCGGCCUGAGAGGGUGACCGGCCACAGUGGGACUGGGAUACGGCCCAGACUCCUACGGGAGGCAGCAGUGGGGAAUAUUGCACAAUGGGCGGAAGCCGGAUGCAGCAACGCCGCGUGCGGGAUGACGGCCUUCGGGUUGUAAACCGCUUUCGCCUGUGACGAAGCGUGAGUGACGGUAAUGGGUAAAGAAGCACCGGCUAACUACGU